GAGCGCGAAUAGGGGCAACCCUUAGUAGAGCGGCGCACGGGUGCGUAACACGUGGGUAAUCUGCCCUGAAGCCUGGGAUAACCAGCCGAAAGGUUGGCUAAUACCGGAUAAGACCUCGGACUCUUCGGAGUCUGCGGGAAAAGGUGGCCUCUGUAUACAAGCUAUCGCUUCUGGAUGAGCCCGCGGCCCAUCAGCUAGUUGGCGGGGUAAUGGCCCACCAAGGCGACGACGGGUAGCUGGUCUGAGAGGACGAUCAGCCACACUGGAACUGAGACACGGUCCAGACUCCUACGGGAGGCAGCAGUGGGGAAUUUUGCGCAAUGGGCGAAAGCCUGACGCAGCAACGCCGCGUGUGUGAUGAAGGUCUUCGGAUUGUAAAGCACUUUCGGCCGGGACGAAAACCCGGAGGCUAACAUCCUCCGGCUUGACGGUACCGGAAGAAGAAGCACCGGCUAACUCUGUGCCAGCAGCCGCGGUAAUACAGAGGGUGCAAGCGUUGUUCGGAAUUAUUGGGCGUAAAGCGCGUGUAGGCGGCUUUGCAAGUCGGGUGUGAAAGCCCUCGGCUCAACCGAGGAAGUGCGCCCGAAACUGCAGAGCUUGAGUACCGGAGAGGAUGGCGGAAUUCCCCAAGUAGAGGUGAAAUUCGUAGAUAUGGGGAGGAACACCGGUGGCGAAGGCGGCCAUCUGGACGGAUACUGACGCUGAGACGCGAAAGCGUGGGUAGCAAACAGGAUUAGAUACCCUGGUAGUCCACGCCGUAAACGAUGAGAACUAGGUGUCGUGGGUGUUGA
rnacentral:rRNA from 1 species